GACGAACGCUGGCGGCAUGCCUAAUACAUGCAAGUCGAGCGAACAGAUGAAGUGCUUGCACUUCUGACGUUAGCGGCGAACGGGUGAGUAACACGUAAGGAAUCUACCUAUAAGCGGGGGAUAACAUUCGGAAACGGAUGCUAAUACCGCAUAAUAUCUUCUUCCGCAUGGAAGAAGAUUGAAAGACGGCUCUGCUGUCACUUAUAGAUGACCUUGCGGUGCAUUAGUUAGUUGGUGGGGUAACGGCCUACCAAGACGAUGAUGCAUAGCCGACCUGAGAGGGUGAUCGGCCACAUUGGGACUGAGACACGGCCCAAACUCCUACGGGAGGCAGCAGUAGGGAAUCUUCCGCAACGGGCGAAAGCCUGACGGAGCAAUGCCGCGUGAGUGAAGAAGGCCUUCGGGUCGUAAAACUCUGUUAUAAGAGAAGAACAAAUUGUAGAGUAACUGCUACAGUCUUGACGGUAUCUUAUCAGAAAGCCACGGCUAACUACGUGCCAGCCGCCGCUGUAA
rnacentral:rRNA from 1 species